AUGCCGCUUCUCGCCAUGGACGGCAUGGAGUUCUUCUUCGAUGAAUCUGCAUCGGGGUUCGUGUCGCGGUUGGACGGUGGAGUUUUCUUAAGGGGUCUAGUUGCCGGCGAGCAACUUACUAAAGGCGACACAAGUGGAACAGAGGAUGCGGAGGAGGAUUUGAUUUCUUCUCUUCCCAUGGGGCGAAUUGGAGGCGGCAUGGAUUGUGAAGGGGGCGAAGGUGCUGGUACAGGGGGCUACGCAUCGUAUGAUCUUGGCGGCGAAGGCAUGAGCGAUUCCUGCGAGACAGGCGGUGCAAAUAUAGUCCCAAAUGACAUGGACCAGGAUGCAGAUGAAGAUAGAGUGGGAGUGUCAAAUGCAAACCAGUCUUCUUGGACCAGGAGGGUCAGAGUUGGAAAAGCGGCAGAUGAGAGGGAGCCCAGCCCUUCAAGGAUGCCUGCCCUUGAAGCUUCUAUCCGUGCAUUUGUUGACAAAAAGUCUAAUAAUGUUGUCAAUCCAUCGAUUGGGACUAGUUUUGAUUCCGUCCAAGUGGGUACGAGUUUUAAAAUCUUUAUUCGUGGGAGGUUGGUUUUGGGUUGCGCUAUGCAAAAAGACGUUUGA
rnacentral:rRNA from 1 species